rnacentral:lncRNA from 1 species
GAACAAACAACACCUUAGAGCAGAAUCUUUUUUUUUAUGAGCCAGUCACAUAUAAAAUCCACAUUAAUAGUGACAAUGAAAAGCAGAUGUUCUGAGUUUAUUACACUGCUUUGAAUAGACUCCAUCAAAUAUUAAGCCAAUUUCAGCUGAGGUUACAUGGUCUUGUACCUCUUGGCCUCAUAUAGCUGCUAUGAAGGAUUCGGUACUUCCACCACUCCUUGUCAGUACCUGUAAGGUUUCUGUUUAAUUAUGCCUUUCCUGUUACAGCUUCUAACCUACGCUGGGUCACAGAAAAAUGUCAGGACAAGACAAAUCAAAAGAAGCAGUCACAGCUGAGGGUCAGAACACAACAUCCACACUGCUAAAGACGCAAAAAAUCUGUGGAUGCAAAGCUUGACACGUUUCCAAGGACACAUAAGAGAAAAGCCACUGGAGAUUAGAGCUGCUGGGAAUUACAGGCCAACAACAUCAGGGUCAGGAAAUCCCCUGAGGUAUGCUGUAAGUAAGUAAAAAUGGUCAGUUUGCCUAUCUACUGAGGUGAGAUUAUAUGUCAAAAAACAGAUGAAGAAUCUGACCCGCAUGUGGAUAUAGAUCCUGGCUGCUGUAAGUCACCUAGAAACAUGAAGAACCUCUUCUGACUCCUGAAGUCUUUAGCACAUGGAUUACUUUCCAUUGCAGACAAAUUUCACAUCAUUGGUUGCUUAUUUCAGUUGCAGUAAAAAAUGAGGAUUUGAACAUAGAUUUAAAAGUAAUCCGAGAAUAAUCCACUGAGCUCCUUGCUGAGCCCUCUGCACCUGUUUAUACUAUUUGAAUUUUGCCAUUUUUUGACUGUGACCGAGUUCACAUUUUCCUUUCUACUUUCAUUGUAUAUUUUUCUAUUAUGCUCCUAAUUUAGCAUUUUUAGAGGUGCUUGCAGGCUUCCUCUGAAAUUAUUUGAUCACAUACAUUUGUGGAGUGCUUUAAUGUCAUCUGCUACUUACUUUUGUAACAUGCAUUUUACACAACACUCUGAUUUGUUUGAACAUUAAUUUCUUUUGUGGAUGGAAGCCAACAUACUGUUUUCACAUCACAGAUCUGCACUCAAUUGUGUAACAUUUGGAUCAGGAACAUUUAGGAUUAAAUAUGGUUUCUAAAUGUCUUGAAAAAGCUUAACUUAGGCUCUGCUGCAGCAUUCACACUUUUCAGGUAACUUAUCUCAAUGCUCUGAACAGCAGGACUUUGAAGACUUCAGCCAGGAGGUGAUAUGACUAGUUAAUCAAGCCUCUUUUCUGUGUUUCUUAUCAUCUACUCUAUUUUAUUACAUUUGAAAAUUAAAACAGAUUCUGCCAAGAGCAAGUAUGUUUGCACAUUGCCCUUUGUUUGCACUGACAUUUAUAUAUUUGCAUACGAUUGCCAUCCUUUCUUAAGCUAAAAUCAACCCUGCUUUAUUGUGACACUACAGUUUAAGUAAGGGACAUCCAACUGCGACUUCAGCACAAUAAAGACUGAUUGAAGUGCCA